UUGGAGUCCCACACAAGGGGAGCGAGCCAGUGGAAAAUAAACCAUGUUCAUUGCAGUGUGCCUCUGUUAGGAGAGUGCUUCUCUCUCUGUCGGUCGCUCCGUUUUUUUGACGACUUAUAGAGAGCGUGUGUGCAGGGACAGGCCCUUUAUGUGCUCUCUGCUCUCUCUGUGCUUUCUCUCUUUUUUUCACUUUCUGUUUAUCGUGACUAUUUUGUCAGGAGCUGGUUGAGAGAUAGACCUGGCAGGAGAGCGGCAGAACUGGAUUUGUUUGAAAGAACAACCGUAGACAAGAAGUGCAUAGAGAAGAGUUUGUUUUGAACUUCCAGCAUGAGAAGAUAGACAUCUUUUGAAGAACAAAGAGAGAAAGAGGGACUGAAAGAUGUACGACCUGCAAACAACAAGGUGGCUGAGUCAACCGUUGUCUUAAUGAGGAAAUGGAGAUGGUCUAUCUUCAAUGGUUUUUAUGGUCCCUGCUGUAUUUUCACUGAAAGAGCCGGCCUACUCUGUCCACCAAGCCUGACUCCAUUUUGAUGCCAGACGAGGAGACGAGGACUGACCAGCCCUUUGGUUCCCACACCAUGUUGGCUCCAGCCCACACCAUUGGCUACCCACUACCACACCAGUACGUUGGCAUUUCUCUUUUCGUAUUUCUGUAUUUUUCUAUUAAUUUCUCAAUUAAUUUCUCUCUUGGUCUUGGUUUGUCGUGAUAAGUGCGAAACUGGACCUAUGAUUCUGUACCUCUCAUUCUCUCAUGUUCAACUGACCUUUCCCUAUAGUACCUGUAUUGUUUUUAACGGUGAUUGUGAAUUCCUAUAUUUCUCGGAGAUAAGUACGGUAACAUAAAUAAAGCGAAUUAAAUCUCUCCCUCGUGUGUAUAUUCACCCUCAGCUUGUGAAAAAUAUUUGACAGUGAUUGUUCUGAAAGAUAGUGUAGUGAUGUGCAUAAACGAAACAUGGCAUUUUCAAAUCAAAAAUAUCUUUCAGAGCCACGUUUUGUUUUGUUAUGAUUUACAGUUCGCUAUGACAAUUGAAUGACCUUUUCAAUUUGUAGUUGAAUGUCACACGGUCUAUCAUUUCUGUUACACACCUUAAUCAAGAGGUGUGCUGUGUUUCUGUGGUGAUUAGAGUGACAAGGUGGCUCAGCAGAACUCAUUGAGUUCAUUGAUUUACUGUUAAUUCAUGUGACCUUUCAUUUGACUGUUGUCUUAUUCAUUGUUUAAUUAUACCUUCUGCACUAUCCCCUGGGGUGACUUUCUCUAUAGCAGUUAUUAAAAUGUCUUUAUAUAAGAGCUAUGGCCAGAUUUAAAUCCAUUUUAACUCGUUUUUUUGUUGCAAUUCUGCAUUGCAGUAUUUCUUCAACAAAUGUACUCACACCCUGACAUUUUAUUAAGUGGUAACAGAUAUUAUUUGCAAAGUCUGUAUAGGUCAAUUUUUAUAUUACAAUUCAGAAAUCAGGAAGAUGGGCAGACAUAUCUGAAAUGAAAUAUUUAUUGUUCGUCCCGGAUACUUAAAUGAUUUUUCCUGGCUACCUCUUGAAAAUAAUGAAUAUACGCUAACAUGAAAAUGCAAUAAGGCAUUGUAAUAACCAACAUACUAUUCUCUCUCCUCCCUUUUGAUAUUUUGAUAUUGAGAGGCAAAAGUAUAUGAGUCACAUAAGGGUUAUACAACGCCAAGCGCAUAUGACAGUCAUGUGUCUUGUCCACUUCAUUGUGCCAUAUCACAGGAGAUCCCCAAUCUUUUCUCAACUGAUAAGUGGUAUAUAAUACAUUUCAGACGGACAGAUUUGGAAGGUCUCGUUCGGUUGUCAAACAGAAUAGUAGUGCAGUGUAUCAACCCCGGCUUGUUAUUGAAGGUAACAUUCGAUAAAGAAUAUAAAAUCUUGCCUCAAUAUAUUUUUUCAGGACAAACGUUUGAUACCUCAAUAUAUACUCAAGGAUGGGCCCAUUAUCUUAUUGUCAACCACCACAAUCAUAUUAGUCUGAACCUGUAUUCAGUCAAGGUUUCCAUGCGCUUUCCUACAUUUCUUGACUUGCCUAGUUAAAUAAGGAUUAAAAAAAGGGACUUGAGGGAUCAUUUCAAUUUGUGUAUGAAUGAUUCUAACAAUUGUCCUUCACUGUAGUACAUUUUUUGUUAAAGCCAAAGUGCAAAAAAAUGACAAGAAAUGAAUGAGGAAUUACCAUGAGAUUUUAA